rnacentral:rRNA from 1 species
UACAGAGGUCUCGAGCGUUAGGCGGAAUCACUGGGCUUAAAGCGUGUGUAGGCGGAUCGUUAAGUGCCUUGUGAAAUCCCACGGCUCAACCGUGGAACUGCUUGGCAUACUGGCGGUCUUGAGCAACCUAGGGGCGAGCGGAACAAAUGGUGGAGCGGUGAAAUGCGUAGAUAUCGUCUGGAACGCCAAAGGUGAAAACAGGUCGCUGGGGCUGAGCUGACGCUGAGACACGAAAGCCAGGGGAGCGAACGGG